UACGUAGGGGGCAAGCGUUGUCCGGAAUCAUUGGGCGUAAAGAGCGUGUAGGCGGACUUAAAGGUCUGGUGUGAAAGCCCGGGGCUCAACCCCGGAGGGUCACUGGAAACCAUAAGUCUUGAAUCUGGAAGAGGAGAGUGGAAUUCCUGGUGUAGCGGUGGAAUGCGCAGAUAUCAGGAGGAACACCAAUGGCGAAGGCAGCUCUCUGGUACAUGAUUGACGCUGAGACGCGAAAGCGUGGGAGCGAACAGG
rnacentral:rRNA from 1 species